AUUGUCGGAAGAAUUCUUUUAACGUUGCCAGCUUCGUAGACUCUCGAAUAGUUUACGGUUGUCUAUGCUCGUAUCGCGUACGAUACGGUUUCGCUGUCGAAACGUAGCCAGUUUCGGAUCAAUAGGCGACCCCGAUCGGAGUACAUUUUAUCGAUCGGCCGAACAAACAGACAAAUUUUUAAGUUUCUUCGCAUUUCGCCUGUUCUCCUUUCUACUUUCUUACGCGAACGACACACGGCAUUAUUAACACGGCGACAAGCUGACGUGCGAAUAAUAGGCGAGAAUAAUGGCCGCGAUGAUUACAACUUCUCAUAAAAGGGGCUAUUUUCUAGAGCUUUCGCAGGAAUUAAAUUAUAUAUAACUUAGAAAUAUCUGGACAAAUGAGUCGUUUAUUAUGGAAGUGGUUAUUAUCUAGUUUUAGAUUCAAUUAAAAAAUAUUGACAACUGAUGA